GGGGAUUAGCUAUUGACUCCCAAAAGAAAGAGGAUGACAUAAAUCAUAAUAUAUCAAAAGAAAACAAUGAUGAUGUAAUAACUCAGGCGUCAUUCCUAAUUAAUGUGUAAAUAUUUUAAGCCUCAACAUUGGAAUUCGGCGGCGUAUGUGAAGGAUUUUCAAAACCUGGAGAAGGACAUAUCUUAACAUCAUCGAGACACGUUUUUUUCCUAAUCUUUUUUUUGUAUGCUUUUACAGGUUGGCGACGGUCCGCAUAUAUCUAUACUUAAAUAGCCUUAAUUGUACCUGAUAUAAUCGUUUGAUGCUCAAAUAUGUGGUGCCUUACGGAAGCUAGGGAUGCAAUUAAUCUCAUCUUUACUCAGAAAAUGUGCGAAGGGGCCCUUUAUAUCUUUUCCAAAGCCGCAUUGUUUUCAUUACAGUAUUGUUUCGGCUUCCAAAGGGCUGCGAUUUAGGGCGAUGCAUUCAACUCAGUGGAGGAGGAAGGGGAAAUUCGUCUUAGAAGGGCAUCUCUACAGGGCUUGUCACCGCGUUCACAUGGAAUACCAGCCAAGGAACUACCGUAUCUCUCUGCCUAUCAAUGAUUGGGAGCUUCCUUUAUCUGAUCAGAUUAGUGAUGAAAAUCCGAGUCAAAUGUUCAAGACACAUUGUGUUCAGUUCAGAAAAAGAAUAAAGAGGAUUAUCGGUGAUGAAAUUUUGUACCCCAAAGCACGCGGGGUAAUAUUUCCAUCGCAAGUUAUUUCUACUUUUCUCUCAAAUUCCUUUGAUCUGUUUCAAUCCUUCCAUUCACUGCAAAUAAUUGCGGAGAAGGUUAUCAAAGAAGUGUUCAUCCAGGAGAAUAGACUCCUCUCGCUGGUCCAAGCUUAUGAUUUGUGGCAAGGUCAGGGUCGGAUUGGUGCCCUCUUCCCACGCUACUUCCUGCUCAAUGUGUGUAUAUCUCAGUGUAUGAUGCAAUAAAGAACACCUUGGAGAUGUAUAAUUCAUGGUACUUGAUUCAUGCCUUGGACAAACAUUUUGCAGUGCUUGGUGAAGACAUCGCAGGCAACAUUCGUAGGAGGGUAAAUGCUAUUGGCUCUGCUUGAUCAUCAACAUGAGAAACCUCUUCUAGUUUCCCCACCGGCAUAGGGUAAUCCAGUUGCUCCUUGGGGGAAUAUCCCAGACAAUGUCGGUUCAUCUCUUCAGCGUUUGCAGCCAUGAAUUUCUGUGGUGGUGCAUGGCUAGACUCUCCACCAUGUCUCUCAUAUGUGAGAGGAGCAUUUAUUAAGUUCGAUCCCCUUUCUCACAAAUGCCAUUUGAUAUAUAUAGCAAGCUGGUACGAUCAAGCAAUGCCUUGACCGGUCAUGUCUUUUAGACAUGGCCAAUCAAGACAUUACUUGAUCGUGCCCCUUCUCUAAUCAUAAUAAUAAUACAUGGUGUUUAUUUACCAACCGAUACCAAUCGGUGUAUGCUUACAUUAACACCCGAUAACAACCGGUGUAUGCUUAUCGGUGUAUGCUUGUCUUAACACCCGAUAACAAUCGGUGUAUGUUUAUUCUGAAAAACGAUAUUAAUCAGUGUAUCACCUGAUAUCAAUCGGUGCAAACAUAUGUUAACAUCGAUACUAAUCGAUGUUUGGUUGAUCCGAUAAUUGUUGGUUUAUCAUUAAAUAAGUUAACCGAUAUAAAUUGGAUUGCAAUGGUUAACCCGAUUUAAUAAUCGGUGAACACAAAUAAUGUAACCGAUAUUAAAUCGGGAUUCUAUGAUAUAGAAUGAUAAUCGACAGUUAAGCAUUUUGAUCGAACUAAUUAGAUUGAGCAUAUACAAAUGAAGAAUGGUUUAUCAAAUGAAGGCUUGAAAUUAUUCAAUCAUAAUUAUCGAUAGGAUAAAUGAUUGAAUGAGAGACUUCAUUUAUCUCUCAUUCAAUCUUUUAUCUUACCGAAGCUAUCAUGCAUUAACACAAAUGAGCUCUUAUAAAUUCCAAACAAAUGGGCACCAACCCAGACUACAAUAGUGAGCUUCAGCUCACAAAGGGCACCAACCCUUUCAAUGAUUCAACCUGUCAAGACCAAAUCACCAACUUCAGUCUCACCAAAACACUGAUAAUUGAAAUUGAUGAAGUUUGCUCAAAAGAGCUGGUACCUCUACAUGCACAGUCCGAUCACUUCAAGUCAGCCACUAUCAAUCCCAUUUAGCAGUAAAUCAAAGAUUCAGUCACAAAAUCAGAACUGAACUUCUUCCCACAUGUAUCACGUCCAGCAAUUUUUUUUUUUAAUGCCCCUGUAAUCUGUAUAUUUAAAAGAAAAAAAAAUUAACACCACCAUAUUAUUUUCUGCAUAUGAAUCGCCUAUCUUCAUUCAUACCACGCACACAGUGAAGAAUAUUACAGUUCA